GAUGAACGCUGGCGGCGUGCUUAACACAUGCAAGUCGAACGGUGAAGCAGGAGCUUGCUCUUGUGGAUCAGUGGCGAACGGGUGAGUAACACGUGAGCAACCUGCCCCUGACUCUGGGAUAAGCGCUGGAAACGGCGUCUAAUACUGGAUAUGUGAUGUGACCGCAUGGCCCGCAUCUGGAAAGAAUUUCGGUUGGGGAUGGGCUCGCGGCCUAUCAGCUUGUUGGUGAGGUAAUGGCUCACCAAGGCGUCGACGGGUAGCCGGCCUGAGAGGGUGUCCGGCCACACUGGGACUGAGACACGGCCCAGACUCCUACGGGAGGCAGCAGUGGGGAAUAUUGCACAAUGGGCGGAAGCCUGAUGCAGCAACGCCGCGUGAGGGAUGACGGCCUUCGGGUUGUAAACCUCUUUUAGCAGGGAAGAAGCGAAAGUGACGGUACCUGCAGAAAAAGCACCGGCUAACUAUGUGCCAGCCGCCGCAGUAA
rnacentral:rRNA from 1 species